UACAGGGGGGGCAAGCGUUGUUCGGAAUUACUGGGCGUAAAGGGCUCGUAGGCGGCCAAUUAAGUCCGACGUGAAAUCCCCAGGCUUAACCUGGGAACUGCGUCGGAUACUGAUUGGCUUGAAUCCGGGAGAGGGAUGCGGAAUUCCAGGUGUAGCGGUGAAAUUCGUAGAUAUCGGGAGGAACACCAGUGGCGAAGGCGGCGACCUGGACAGAUAUUGACGCUGAGGUGCGAAAGCGUGGGGAGCAAACAGG
rnacentral:rRNA from 1 species